GAUAAACGCUGGCGGCGUGCUUAACACAUGCAAGUCGAACGAAGUUUUUCCUUCGGGAGACACUUAGUGGCGGACGGGUGAGUAACGCGUGGGUAACCUGCCCUGUACAGGGGGACAACAGCUGUAAACGGCUGCUAAUACCGCAUAAGCCCUUAGCACUGCAUGGUGCAUAGGGAAAAGGAGCAAUCCGGUACAGGAUGGACCCGCGUCUGAUUAGCCAGUUGGCAGGGUAACGGCCUACCAAAGCGACGAUCAGUAGCCGAUCUGAGAGGAUGUACGGCCACAUUGGGACUGAGACACGGCCCAGACUCCUACGGGAGGCAGCAGUGGGGAAUAUUGCACAAUGGAGGAAACUCUGAUGCAGCGACGCCGCGUGAGUGAAGAAGUAUUUCGGUAUGUAAAGCUCUAUCAGCAGGGAAGAAAAUGACGGUACCUGACUAAGAAGCACCGGCUAAAUACGUG
rnacentral:rRNA from 1 species